rnacentral:ncRNA from 1 species
AAAWAGUUUGAUUUUGACUUAAAAAUUUAUUAAAAAUUUAUUAAUACAUGAAAAUUUUUGURUGAAUAWAAUUUUAUUUUUAAUAAGUAAAUAAUUUAUUUUAAUCUCAGUAUAUAGAAUUAAWAAUUAUAGAAAUAUAGAUUUAGUAAURUUUUAUAUUAUUAGCAAAAAUUGUGCCAGCAGCUGCGGUUAUACAAUUAAUAAAAAUAAAUUUUAUAAGUAAGUAGUUAAUAAUAGUAAUUGCAAGUAAAAAUGUAUAAUUUUUAGGUGAAAUUUAAUUUAUAUAAAAAAUUUGAUUUGAUUAUGAAGCUAUAGAAAUUAAAUUAUAAACUAGGAUUAGAUACCCUAUUAUUUUAAAUAAAAAUAAAAAUAUUAAAGUAGUAUUAGGUAUAGGCUUGAAACUUAAAAAAUUUGGCGGUAUUUUAAUCUUUUCAGAGGAACCUGUCCUGUAAUCGAUAUUCCACGUUAAAUUUUACUAAAUUUUAUUAUUUAUAUAUCGUUGUCGAAAGAAUAUUUUUAUAAAAUUUUUAAUUUUCUAGAAUUUUUAAAAAAAUAGAUGUCAAAUCAAGGUGUAGUUAAUAAUUUAGUAGAGAUGGGUUACAAUAAAAAUAUUUAGAUGAAUAUAUUGUUGAAAUAAUAAUAUUGAAGGUGGAUUUGAAAGUAAAUUAAUUUUAGUAAGUUUAAUUGAUUUUAGUUCUAAAAUAUGUACAUAUUGCCCGUCGCUCUUUUUUUUAAAAAAAGAUAAGUCGUAACAUAGUAGAUAUACUGGAAAGUGUAUCUAGAAAGA